UCCCAGACUCCUACGGGAGGCAGCAGUGGGGAAUAUUGCACAAUGGGGGAAACCCUGAUGCAGCAACGCCGCGUGAGUGAAGAAGUAUUUCGGUGUGUAAAGCUCUAUCAGCAGGGAAGAAAAUGACGGUACCUGAGUAAGAAGCCCCGGCUAACUACGUGCCAGCAGCCGCGGUAAUACGUAGGGGGCAAGCGUUAUCCGGAUUUACUGGGUGUAAAGGGAGCGUAGACGGCGAUGCAAGUCUGAAGUGAAAGCCCGGGGCUCAACCCCGGGACUGCUUUGGAAACUGUAUGGCUGGAGUGCUGGAGAGGCAAGCGGAAUUCCUAGUGUAGCGGUGAAAUGCGUAGAUAUACGGAGGAACACCAGUGGCGAAGGCGGAUUGCUGGACAGUAACUGACGCUGGGGCGCGAAAGCGUGGGGAGCAAACAGGAUUAGAUACCCGUGUA
rnacentral:rRNA from 1 species